CCGCCGCCGCGGCGAUACCAGCACCUAGAGUGGUCAGGAUGUUUAUUGGGCCUAAAGCAUCCGUAGCCGGCUACGCGAGUCUCCGGUUAAAUCCAUCUGCUUAACAGAUGGGCUGCCGGAGAUACUACAUAGCUAGGGAGCGGGAGAGGUAAACGGAAUUCGGUGGGUAGGGGUAAAAUCCUCUGAUCCAUUGAGGACCACCAGUGGCGAAGGCGGUCUACCAGAACACGUUCGACGGUGAGGGAUGAAAGCUGGGGGAGCAAACCGGAUUAGAUACCCGGGUAGUCCCAGCUGUAAACUAUGCAAACUCAGUGAUGCAUUGGCUUAUGGCCAAUGCAGUGCUGCAGGGAAGCCGUUAAGUUUGCCGCCUGGGAAGUACGUACGCAAGUAUGAAACUUAAAGGAAUUGGCGGGGGAGCA
rnacentral:rRNA from 1 species